CCCCACCCGGCACCAAACGUGGCUCCUCUCGAUCCCCGUAAACGCCGCUGCCGUCCUCUUCCUGACGCAACCGCAUGUCACAUAGAAGACUCCGCCGCCGCCGCCGACCGGGAUCGACGUCUCUCGCUGCCGCGGUCUCGUGCGAUCUCCCUGCCGCCGACGUACGGGAUCGCCGCCACCGACCUCCAGGAUCAGCGUCUCUCGCUGUCGCGAUCUCCCUGCCGCCAGCAUACGGGAUCGCCGCCGCCGCCGUACCAGAGGAAACACUGUCGACGAUGUCCGGGAUCGACGCCCCCGCGCUUCCACAAAUAUGCGUUCGAGUCGUGCAUCCCUUUAGCCUCCGCCCCUCCAUCGUCCAUGGCUCUGUGAUCUGUCGUGUUUGUUACCCCAGUAUCCUGUCCCUUUUCCCCCGAGAUUGAUGUGCUGUUUGUUUUUUGUAUCAUUGUGCAGGAGGUUGGAGAAGCGCAGGGAGAAAGGGGACCGUGGACCAAGGUUCUACAACUUUUUUUUUAUAGAUUUGGGAUUCUUACAGCCAAAGACUAUUUUACUAGAGAUUGGCGAUUUUGGGUUUCCACUGUAGCCAUUGUAGGAUUCACUAUUUUGUUCAACAUAAUGUACCUUCUGGCACUUACGUACUUGAGCUAUCGGUACCUUUUCUUCUUCUUCUGGUUGACAUUAUUGUUCACUAUAUAUGAUUUGUUCUCAUCCAGUUGGCAGCAGCUCAAACACAGUUUCAGACGAGGAGAAUGAGAAUGAGACAAACAUUCAGACGAGGAGAAUGAGACAAACACUCUAUAGAUGAAGCGACAAAUCGGCCAAUUUGGUCACAUAUCACCUUGCCUUUCCAGCCUCUUUCACUUUCUUUCAACCAUCUUGUGUUUCAGGAAAUGAGAGAGCAAGGAUUCACAGAAAGUCGUCUCCACUUGCUCUCUCCUAUCACAGGUGCUUUUUGGCCUGGUGUUUUGUCAUGGGAGCCACAUGUGUUCAUCUAAUACAACUUCCAUGCGAAUCUCUUUCCCCAUUCUGUUUUUGGUUUGGACCGAAACAACUUAUCGUUAUUGUUGGUUCUAGGAUGCGGGUUGGGAUAUCUCCAGAUUAAUAUCAAGGAUUUUAGGAUAUUGUUAAAUUCCAGUUAAGAGCUCGUUGUAAAUGUUGUCCUAUCGGUACCAGAUUAGAUUCGUGAAGUAAAAUUCAAAAUGCUUGUAAUUUAGUCGCAAGAAUGGCGAAUGAGGUUUACUUAUGAUGUGAGUUAGGUACCAAAAAUUGUGGACUAAGGAACCAGAUGUGAGUUGUAUCACCAUUGGCAUUUUACUGUAUAGGCUAUUAUAGACAUGGCUCUACAUGCGUUGAGAAGUGUGAGCACGUCAAGAUAUUCUCCAUCUAGGAAUCCUCGUAUAUAUUCACACAUACGUUAUUCUUUAAAUCUGCCUGGGGGUCAAACUCAGGUGAACGGACACAUGUGCAUGAUUAUUAGUAUCCAAAGUGCCUUUGGAAGGUGUUUACUUCUGAUGACAUUGCAUAAUGAGAGGUGUGACAGGAGUAUUUGUUGUAUUUUACCUGACUGGUAUUACUGCAACUAUUAAUUAUCCAUGUUAGUUCUCUUCAAAUAGCAAUUAGGGUAUGACUGGCUUUACUGAUGCUCUCAUUCCAAGGAAAAAUGUGAAUAUUUGAUUUCAUUGGCAAAGCCUCACAUGAAGAAGUCGACGCCUCGACGCUGGUUGAUUCUGCAACUGGACGCAGUAAAGAUAGCAGGGUGCGAAUGAGUUCACGAGUAAAUAUGAGGGUUGGGAGUUGUACACCCAAAUAUGUGAUCGUGGACACUAACUGAGGACAAAAAUGUGAUGGCAUCAUUAACAGUUCAAUGGGAAUUUGGAGAAGGGUGCAUUAUCUCUGUGCUGAUUGGUGUAGAGCAUGUAGGAUGUGCUUGGCGAGCUUGAAUGCAACCAAACCGUGUUGGAUUCGACAUCAAACAUUUAUAUCUUACUAUGUAGGAGUACUUUGUUAUGGUUUCGUUGCAAUGCUUGUGGCCAAUAAGAUGUUUUCUUAUAACGCAGGUCUGGGGCUGGCAGAUUGUUGGGUGAGAUGUUUGUGGACUUUGUACAAGAAAUAAGAGAGAGAAGUAAGAUUAAACCGCAACUCUGAUGGCGGUGGCCAGCU